rnacentral:rRNA from 1 species
GACGGAGGGUGCAAGCGUUGUUCGGAUUGACUGGGCGUAAAGGGCGUGUAGGCGGUCGGCCAAGUCUGCUGUGAAAGCCCGAGGCUCAGCCUCGGAAGUGCGUCGGAAACUAGUCGGCUGGAGCGCGAUAGAGGCGGGUGGAAUUCCUGGUGUAGCGGUGAAAUGCGUAGAUAUCAGGAGGAACACCGGUGGCGAAGGCGGGUCUCUGGGCCGAUAUUGACGCUGAGGAGCGAAAGCGUGGGGAGCAAACAGG